rnacentral:rRNA from 1 species
GUGAAAUUCCGUCGGAAUCCGGGAGGACCAUCUCCCAAGGCUAAAUACUCCCUAGUGACCGAUAGUGAACCAGUACCGUGAGGGAAAGGUGAAAAGCACCCCGGAAGGGGAGUGAAACAGUUCCUGAAACCGUGUGCCUACAAGUAGUUAGAGCCCGUUAAUGGGUGAUAGCGUGCCUUUUGUAGAAUGAACCGGCGAGUUACGAUUUGUUGCAAGGUUAAGCGGAAAAAGCGGAGCCGUAGCGAAAGCGAGUCUGAAUAGGGCGCAUAAGUAACAGGUCGUAGACCCGAAACCAGGUGAUCUACCCAUGUCCAGGAUGAAGGUAAGGUAAUACUUACUGGAGGUCCGAACCCACGCACGUUGAAAAGUGCGGGGAUGAGGUGUGGGUAGCGGAGAAAUUCCAAUCGAACUUGGAGAUAGCUGGUUCUCUCCGAAAUAGCUUUAGGGCUAGCCUCGAGGUAAAGAGUCAUGGAGGUAGAGCACUGUUUGGACUAGGGGCCCUUCUCGGGUUACCGAAUUCAGAUAAACUCCGAAUGCCAUGUACUUAUACUCGGGAGUCAGACUGCGAGUGAUAAGAUCCGUAGUCGAAAGGGAAACAGCCCAGACCACCAGUUAAGGUCCCCAAAUAUAUGUUAAGUGGAAAAGGAUGUGGGGUUGCUUAGACAACCAGGAUGUUGGCUUAGAAGCAGCCACCAUUGAAAGAGUGCGUAAUAGCUCACUGGUCGAGUGACCCCGCGCCGAAAAUGUACCGGGGCUAAACAUAUUACCGAAACUGUGGAUGAACCUCUUUAGAGGUUCGUGGUAGGAGAGCGUUCUAAGGGCGGUGAAGUCAGACCGGAAGGACUGGUGGAGCGCUUAGAAGUGAGAAUGCCGGUAUGAGUAGCGAAAGAAGGGUGAGAAUCCCUUCCACCGAAUAUCUAAGGUUUCCUGAGGAAGGCUCGUCCGCUCAGGGUUAGUCGGGACCUAAGCCGAGGCCGAUAGGCGUAGGCGAUGGACAACAGGUAGAGAUUCCUGUACCAGUGCUAAUUGUUUAACCGAUGGGGUGACACAGAAGGAUAGGGAAUCGCACGAAUGGAAAUGUGCGUCCAAGCAGUGAGUGUGAGAAGUAGGCAAAUCCGCUUCUCGCGAAGCAUGAGCUGUGAUGGGGAAGGAAAUUAAGUACGGAAGUUCCUGAUUUCACGCUGUCAAGAAAAGCCUCUAGGAAGAGUAGUACUGCCCGUACCGCAAACCGACACAGGUAGAUGAGGAGAGAAUCCUAAGGUGAGCGAGAGAACUCUCGUUAAGGAACUCGGCAAAAUGACCCCGUAACUUCGGGAGAAGGGGUGCUCUAUUAGGGUGCAAGCCCGAGAGAGCCGCAGUGAAUAGGCCCAGGCGACUGUUUAGCAAAAACACAGGUCUCUGCAAAACCGUAAGGUGACGUAUAGGGGCUGACGCCUGCCCGGUGCUGGAAGGUUAAGAGGAGUGCUUAGCUUCGGCGAAGGUACGAAUUGAAGCCCCAGUAAACGGCGGCCGUAACUAUAACGGUCCUAAGGUAGCGAAAUUCCUUGUCGGGUAAGUUCCGACCCGCACGAAAGGCGCAACGAUCUGGGCACUGUCUCAACGAGAGACUCGGUGAAAUUAUAGUACCUGUGAAGAUGCAGGUUACCCGCGACAGGACGGAAAGACCCCGUGGAGCUUUACUGCAACCUGAUAUGGAAUGUUUGUACCGCUUGUACAGGAUAGGUAGGAGCCGAAGAGACGUGUGCGCUAGCAUACGAGGAGGCAAUGGUGGGAUACUACCCUGGCUGUAUGACCAUUCUAACCCGCCACGCUUAGCGCGUGGGGAGACAGUGUCAGGUGGGCAGUUUGACUGGGGCGGUCGCCUCCUAAAGAGUAACGGAGGCGCCCAAAGGUUCCCUCAGAAUGGAUGGAAAUCAUUCGCAGAGUGUAAAGGCACAAGGGAGCUUGACUGCGAGACUGACAAGUCGAGCAGGGACGAAAGUCGGGCUUAGUGAUCCGGUGGUUCCGCAUGGAAGGGCCAUCGCUCAACGGAUAAAAGCUACCCCGGGGAUAACAGGCUUAUCUCCCCCAAGAGUCCACAUCGACGGGGAGGUUUGGCACCUCGAUGUCGGCUCGUCGCAUCCUGGGGCUGUAGUCGGUCCCAAGGGUUGGGCUGUUCGCCCAUUAAAGCGGCACGCGAGCUGGGUUCAGAACGUCGUGAGACAGUUCGGUCCCUAUCCGUCGCGGGCGCAGGAAAUUUGAGAGGAGCUGUCCUUAGUACGAGAGGACCGGGAUGGACACACCGCUGGUGUACCAGUUGUUCCGCCAGGAGCAUCGCUGGGUAGCUAUGUGUGGCAGGGAUAAACGCUGAAAGCAUCUAAGCGUGAAGCCCCCCUCAAGAUGAGAUUUCCCAUUUCUUCGGAAAGUAAGAUCCCUGAAAGAUGAUCAGGUAGAUAGGUUUGGAGUGGAAGUGUAGCGAUACAUGGAGCGGACAAAUACUAAUCGAUCGAGGACUUAACCAA